UCACUCCGUAACUAAAUAUUUUGUUUCCUGAUACAACAUAACCUUUUAACCGAGAUUCUCUCCCAGAUGAAUUCAAUUUCAUUUCAUCACUUAUUUCUUCCACUCUUUCCGUAUGUCAUCCCAUACUUUCAGAAACUUUUUAUUUUUAUUCUCCCUCCAUUCUAAAGUUUCCUUGUUUUAUUUUAUUUUACACAAAUCCAUCCCUAUUCCGGUCCAAUCCUUACGAGUCCCAAGUAAAAAAAAAGGUUGAACUGAAUCCAGGCCGAUGAAUGGACACACGUAUAAGGAGAAGAAAACUUCUUUUAUUGUCGGGACCGUGGAGUUGGGUCGGCGGAGGGCAUUCAAAUCAAAUCGUAGGCAAUUUAUUUGUCCUACAGUGCUCAUCCUGGUGAGGAAUGACAAGAAUGUGAUGUGAAAUUGGAAUGCAAAGGAACGAGAGAAAGAAGACGACCUCUUUCUUUGGAUUAUUGUAAAUGUGUGAAGAUGAUCUUGAUCAUGAUGAGGUGAAAGUUUUGAAGGAGGGCUCGGUUCAGUUGGGAUAUGUGAUUGUAUAUUGUCUAGUUAGAUGGGCAAAAUUAAAUAAAGACUGAUAAUACUUUUACUAAGAACGUUUCAGGA